rnacentral:rRNA from 1 species
CAGUAGCCGCGGGAAUACGUAGGGUGCGAGCGUUAGUCGGAAUUACUGGGCGUAAAGCGUGCGCAGGCGGUUUGGUAAGACAGGCGUGAAAUCCCCGGGCUCAACCUGGGAAUGGCGCUUGUGACUGCAAAGCUAGAGUGCGGCAGAGGGGGAUGGAAUUCCGCGUGUAGCAGUGAAAUGCGUAGAUAUGCGGAGGAACACCGAUGGCGAAGGCAGUCCCCUGGGCCUGCACUGACGCUCAUGCACGAAAGCGUGGGGAGCAAACAGGAUUAGAUACCCCUGUAGUCCCUGUCUCUUAUAC